GUCGGUGGGGUGAUGGCAAAUGCAAAAUCGUUUUAGAGUUUUGGGGAUUUAGGAUUUUUGAGAGUUCGAUGGAUAAAAAUCGGAUAAAAACCAAAUUCAAAUAUAAAACAUAAGUGGAUAUCCAACCGAUUGAUAAAUAAACUGGAUUAUAACCAUAUUAUUUUAACCGGGUAUUUAAAAUAGAUUUGGAUAUUGUUUUGGAUUUUUGUCUCUUAACCUUUUGUCUCUUAACCUUAUUGGUGGUCCAACGGUGGGGGGUGAACUUCUCUGUCGUCGUGGGCAUUGGUUUUAGGUGACGCGAAAGGUUCCUGCCUCCAAUGUAGAUUGACUUUAAGGAAUGUAGUGCCUUUGCUUGAGAUAAAUGUAGGUUAGAUGAUUUUAUGUUUUACUGAUGUUGUGGUGACCAGUGAUGGUCAUAUCUCUUCGAUUUGUCAGCUGUAUAUUGGCAUAGUGGCACUCCUUUUCACCUCCUAUGCCUUUCAAGUUGACAUGGUAAAUGAGGAGUCCUAUCUACACAUCAUAAUUCUCCCAACCGACGAGGGGAGUUAUGCUUGGGUAGCUCGCGAACCUCUUAGAGUGGUAUCCAUUUUUACAACAAACGUCACAGGCGUGGGUGUCAAAGUUAGAGACUGUGAAGUGCUAGCUUCGGUGGACAAUAGAAGUAUACGUUCAGAGUAUCCCAUGAUCUUUAUUCUCUUAUACGAUGUCAUAUUUAAGGUUACGGGAUUCUAGUUACCCUUUAAUGAUUUUGGGAAAGAUAUAUUUCAACACCUCGAUAUAUGUCUCUCCUAGAUUUACCUCAACUCGUUGACGUACUUGAUGGCUUUCCAAUGAGCUUGUGGCUACGUGAAUGCGAUCCCAACAGUGGCUUUGUUAUUCUAUAUUUUUCGGUAUUCUUUGGUAGAAAGAAUUACCAGGAAAAACUUGGCCUCUUUCAAGCAACCUUAGCAUUUCUUCGCCUCUUACAUGGACACCUUACGCCUUUUAAAAGACAUGUAUUAUGUUGCUCGUCCUUUAAUUGAUAAAGCAAGAAAUGGGGUGGUGGUUUGCGAGUAGGUGCUCGAUAAUGAUGAUGCUCCUAUCAUCAACAAAGUAGAGGAUAUUAUGGAAACGGGAAACUGAUCGUUUUGCAAAGGGCAAUCAUCUUAGGGGAGAAAAGGGAGAAGAAGAAUUGGUCAUCUUCUAUUCUUGCUUAUGUCGUCCUAAUUCAGAUGGUUUAGUCAUACCAAGAUGAGGUAGUAAUUCAUUGUUUUGAGGAUGACCAUAUAGAAUAGCUCUUUGUUGACGACCUCAAUGCUUUGCAAAUGCGUUCAAUGUCGGCCAAUCAUAAUCAAGGGGUCAGUGUCUUCUAUCCAACCUUUCGUUAUGUUGUUUGGUUGAAAACCAGUUCUCCGAGUAUCUCCAUCCAGACGUUUGAUCUUGUAGUUUUAAAAUAUCUCAUAUCAAAGGGACAAGAAACCCUUAGUGGUGGACAUAACAACGAAUCUCCAGGUAUUGUCGUAGGCUCACGAGGUGGCGAACAACGAGGAGGUCUACACCAAAGAGAUUGAAGAGGAUUGGCUAUGAAAAAAAAAAUCAUUGGAUAAGGUCAAAGUUUUUGAAACAAAAAUCGUCGACUUAUCCAAGAAGGUCAAAGUUUUUGUCGAGAUGACCUAAGAGGAUAGGCUGACAAGAUAACUUUGGAUAAGGAAGUUCUUUCCUUUAACCAAGCAUUCUAGAUGUAAAAGAAUGGAAACCUCAAAGUGGAACUACACGAGAAGGGUAAGGAAAUCUUGUUUCUAAAAGAGGAAGUGGAUAUGUUGAAAUUAGAGGAAGACAACAACAAAUAAAUAGAUUGAUACCAAGGAAAAAGAUGUUCUAAAAGUUGUCAAGGGUUCUUUCGAAAAUUCCAUCGCCCAAGUAGGUGCCUUGAAUCAUCGGUUGCUCUCAACUUGGAUAGGUUGGAUUAGACGAAGAUCGUUGUGGAUGGGAAGAUUGUUCAGUCGACUCCUUCUGUAGUUGAGGAUAAUUAAAAGUUCAUGUGUAAUUUGUUGACUUGUUUUGUUGAAUUCUUGGCCCCAUUGGGAUCGAACAAAUACAAUGUUUAACUUUAUUUGGGUAUCUUAUUUUUUAUGAAUACGUCUGAUUGCUCUA